GAUGAUUGUGUGUUGUUCACUUUAGUGUUACUUAGUUGAUGAUUCUUAUGUGAGAGUUUUUUCUUGUUACAUGCUUAUUAUACUUUCUUGUGAUAGUGUAUUACUAGUUACUGGUGGAUUGGAUUAAGGGGAAGAAUCUGAUUGUCUCGAAUGGUGCUCCAUAAGUCACACAACAUAAAGGUCCUCCUUCAGUCGCGGAACUCAAAGGUCCUAACGAUGUUAUAAACCUCAUGUAACGAUGUUAUAAACCUCAUACAAAUUUAAACAUAGGAUUUACCUGAAUCUAGUUGAAGAUUGACGCGAUCUGUAAUCCGUAAGAUGACAAU
rnacentral:lncRNA from 1 species